AGAGUUUGAUCCUGGCUCAGGAUGAACGCUGGCGGCGUGCCUAAUACAUGCAAGUCGAGCGAACUGAUUAGAGGCUUGCUUCUAUGAGGUUAGCGGCGGACGGGUGAGUAACACGUGGGCAACCUGCCUGUAAGACUGGGAUAACUUCGGGAAACCGAAGCUAAUACCGGAUAGGAUCUUCUCCUUCAUGGGAGAUGAUUGAAAGAUGGUUUCGGCUAUCACUUACAGAUGGGCCCGCGGUGCAUUAGCUAGUUGGUGAGGUAACGGCUCACCAAGGCAACAAUGCAUAGCCAACCUGAGAGGGUGAUCGGCCACACUGGGACUGAGACACGGCCCAAACUCCUACGGGAGGCAGCAGUAGGGAAUCUUCCGCAAUGGACGAAAGUCUGACGGAGCAACGCCGCGUGAGUGAUGAAGGCUUUCGGGUCGUAAAACUCUGUUGUUAGGGAAGAACAAGUACGAGAGUAACUGCUCGUACCUUGACGGUACCUAACCAGAAAGCCACGGCUAACUACGUGCCAGCAGCCGCGGUAAUACGUAGGUGGCAAGCGUUAUCCGGAAUUAUUGGGCGUAAAGCGCGCGCAGGCGGUUUCUUAAGUCUGAUGUGAAAGCCCACGGCUCAACC
rnacentral:rRNA from 1 species